GUGAUAUUAAGGUAAGAAUUAACACACAAACUGUUUGAUACAUUAAUACAAGCACUAAUAAUCAAAAGGUCAUAUCUUUAAAAGGUAUUUAUUUUCUUAUCAAAACUAUUGUCUUUGUCAUAAUUAUGGGUUGUCAUUGUGUGGCUUUUACUACUAAUAAUAUAUAGUAUAAUAUACAUAAUAUACAAUAUACAAUAAUAUAAUAUAAUAUAAUAUAUAUAAACCUGCUUAAUCGCAAUAAUUGGUCACCCUUGGGCCAGUUUUAAAUGGCCUGAUUAUGCAGGUGGCUGCAUUACAGGUCAGCCUCUGUAAUACAGCCAUUUAGUACAGGUCUUGAUUGGGAUUUUGGCUUAUGGCUGUAAUAGAGAGGUGGCCUCACUACUCAGGUGACCUUUAGCACAGGUUCCACUGUACCUGUACAUCUGUUAAACUCACCUUUCACAAUACACUACUGAUGUACAUCACCUUGAUAAUCAAGCACAAUGAAAAAUAUCAGUUAUUAUUAUUAUAUUGUAUAGGAAGUGAUUGAAAUAACUGAAGAAUUCAAGACAUCAUUGACUCCAAUAAAGCUAGAUAUUAAAGAUCUUGAUAUUGCCAUAAAAGAAUUAACAUCAGAUCAACAGUUGCCCUGUUCUGUAUGGCACAGACUAGGUCUACAGUUAGGAUUAUAUGAUCCUAGACUAGUGGAUAUAGACAAGAAGAAUAGAGGAGAUCCAGUGGAGUGUUUCCGUGAGUGUAUGUCUGCCUGGUUAAGAGGAGAAGAUAAAGUGAGAGAGAAAGGAGGUCCCAGUUGGUCAUCAUUAGCUACAGCACUGGAUACAAUAGAAGAGAAAUCUUUUGCUAGUUACAUUAGAAAUAAAUAUUGUCAAUAAUUAGUUAGUGGAUGAUUGUGUAUAGUAUUUCAUUUUGUUCUGUUUAUUAUUAUUUUUGCUGAUACUUGCUGAUUCAUUUGUUAAUUAGUUGAGUUGUAAAAGCUGAGCUGUCAUCAUGUACUAAUUUCCCUAUCUCUAUAAUUAGAAUUAUCACUGAUAGUAUCAAACUAUGUUUAUUAUUAGUAACAUUGUUAUUUGAAUAGUUAUUGUUAGUUUCAAACUAUGUUUAUCAUUAAUGUUGUUAUUGGUAUAGAGUUACUAUGAACUA